CCUUGCAGUUAGGAAAACUCUGGCCUCUGUGAAGGUACAAGCCAGGCCUUACACUGAUUGUCUCUUGUUUAAGGGAAUUCUGGCCCAUUUCUGGACCCAGAACACCAGCCUGUUCCAAGGCCCUUCUGUUGGAAAGCUUAUGCCUCCAAGGUCUGGAAUACUUGAGUUUCUCCGGAAAGAAUGAGCAGAAACAGAUCAGCAGCACCCUUUGGAAUGAAAAUCUCUCUGGGUCAGAGCAUGCGGCAUUCUACAAGAACACCUAUUAAGUUCCCUGAAAAAGAAAGCUGCACAUCUGUAAUCCUGGCACUUGGGAGGCUAAGGCAAGAGUAUCACCAUGAAUUUGAGGCCAGUCUGGGCUACACAGUGAGUUCAAGAUCAGCCUGAACUACAUAGCAAGAUCCUGUCUCAGAAAACAAAACAAACGCAAAAAAAAGGAAAAGAGAGUACAAUUAUCUUCUGUAAUUAAAAUAACUUUUUACCAUCCAGCAAUCCAUGGCUCAAGAUUACCACACAGUUGAGCUAGAACCAAAACUCAAAUUUCUGAGGUUGAGUUCCUUAUUUUAUUUGCUAUAAUUUGGUAUAUGAAACAUUUGCUUUAUAUAAUUAUGACCCUAAAGUACCUUCACUUCAAAGUGGAGAAAAACUGAAAAACUUUUCAUGAUGUUAAAAUAGCUAUUAACCUAAUGCCUCUCCAUACAUUGUUACAUGAUACCUUCUGAUUAAAAUUUUUACCUUUGUGUGUGUGUGCGUGUGUGUGUGUGUGUGUGUGUUUCUGGGGAUUGACCCCAAGGCUUGCCCAUGCUAGGCAAAUUUUCUACCAUUGUUCUAUACUUGCCCCUAGAAUUUUCCUUUUUAAUUACAUGUUUUCGUUGGUAAAAUACUAAAAAGUUAACACUGUGUAGAGUUUUGACGUUACUUCAAGUAACUCUGAAAUAGAGUAGCACAGAAUUUAGGUUCUAUUCUUCUCAUUCCAAGCACAAAUUUAACUUGCUUAAUUUUUUCCGUGAAUCUUUAAUAUAACAAUAACCUUUAAUAUAACAAUAAACUUUAUAUUGGUUUAUUGAAAGGAAAAAUUAAUGCUUAAUUGUUUGGUCAGUCUUGCAUACCUAUAUCUGGUAAUUUGAGCAACUACUUUGACAAUAACAAUAUGUAUUAUAACAACCAUUAUUCAUUUCCUAUCACCUUGCUUUGAAAUUCUGUAUCAUUUUUGUUGUUUUGUUUUUGCC
rnacentral:lncRNA from 1 species